rnacentral:lncRNA from 1 species
AAUAAAUGGAGUACUAAAGUUUAUGUAGUAGAGCAUAUUCCUCUCAAGUCCAAAGAUCCCUCAGACAUUAAGCAAUCUAGAAAAACACACAAAAAUAAAAGAGAUCACUGGAUUUUUAAAUGAUUAUAUAAUUAUCUUAUUUUAAGAGGUAAAUUAGCAGUUCUCUGAACUUCAUUUACUUUCAUCAUUAUAUGACUCUCAAGUGUUAUGAUGAAAGAUAUGCCCAUUUGAAACUUUUUCAAUAGUCAAUUUGUUUUAAGAAAGCAGAAUGACAUACUGACAGAACUUGCGGAGUUAUGCUGACACAUUUGGUGAAAUUAACUAGUGCCUUAAGCAUCCCAAUGGCACAAACAGAAAGUCAAGUGAAAAAUCAUAAAUUAAAGCUCACUCACCUCACUUCAUUGAGGUAAAUAUUUGUGGCCUCUCCAGCUACAAUUUGAGAAUCACCUCAAGGUGUUUUGAAAAAAGAAAGUAAGAUGUGCAGUGACAAACACUGGGGCCGGGUCAGACAGGGGUGAUUCUGUGUGUCCUGGUUCCUCUGCUUAUAAGCUAGUGUGUAAUAUGCAAACAAACCAGUCAUGGUCAUCUCUGCCCUGCUUCCCUCAAUAGGCAACUAGGCUCACGUGACAAUCUGUAAAAGCACAAAGGGUUAUUAUUAAACUUUCUGGAAGUAAAAGUUCUUAUGAAAAGCAAGAAAGUACCUCAAAUCCAUUUUUUGAAAGAAAACAGGUACAAACUAGAUAUGAGGAUGAUAAUCAUCUCCGAUUUCCUUACAAUAACAAAAAAACAGCAGUCAGCACUAUUAAGCUGUUUAUUCAUCUUUCUUGUUCCAAAGCGUCAUGACAGUUUUUAUCGUACAGAGAGUAUUUCUGGCACCUGCUAUCAGAUGGCCAAGACACGCUCAGAACUCACUAAGCCCCGGCAUCUCCCUUUGAGUCUUGGAGGAGUGGCAGUUACAGAAAAUCCAAUCAGGGACGGGGGUAAAUACCAGUGAAAUAAGAACCCCAAAUCAAGGCUUGGCUUUGGGCUUGGGCUGUGAUCCCUGGGACAUUCCAGGCAGGACCAAGCUGAAGCCAGAGAAAAGCUCAUUCCCAGGAAGUAAUGUGACUGAUCUGGAAGCAGGCCAGGACAGAGAAGGCUCACCUAGGCUGAGCGUUCAGCAGGUUUAGUGUGCUAUGCGAGCCACAGAGAUGCAACAUGCUCCUCCCUGUGGGGGAACUCGCCCUGACCUUCUCAGUGGGCUCCAGAAGGCCAAGAGUCUUUGACUCCUUUAUUAAAUCAGCAUAACUUCCCUGCUGUCUAUUCUCUGCCAGGCCCUGUGUUGGGUGCAGAGGACAAAGACAGGAAUCAGACACAAUCCUGACCUUUAGAGAAUUCAGAAUAUGAUAGAAAAAGUAUAUAUUUAUAAGUAAGUCUUAUGAUUCAAGGUAAAAAAGACACAGAGAGGAGUCAGACUAACUUGGCUCUCAGGGAGUUCACAGCCUACCAGAGGCCUAGAAGGCACAACGUAGGCAACAAUACAGGGCAUCCUGUGGUAAGGACCAUGGGGAGGCUCAGACUGUGCACUCCGGAGCACAGGGAAAGAUGACGUGACAUCUACUGAGUAACGCAGUGGGGAAAAUUCAUGGCUUACUGGAGAAGACUGAGCAGCCUAAUCUGGCUGAAGUGAAAAUAUUGAAUCCUACCGCCCUGGGGAAGCAGCUGUGCAGGCUCAGGUUGACCUCUGUGGGUCCCUUGGGUUAGCCAACAGGAAGGGUGCAAGGUCUCUUACCUAUGGCUGCAAUUUCAUGAAAUCAAGUGGAUAUCUGAGGGGAGAACGGUGACCAGGAGAAAUAGGUCCAAAGAGAGCAUCCAAAUAACAAGGGCCUGAGGUAAAUACUAGGAGCCUAGAAGUGAGUGAACCACGAGUUAGGGAGCAUGAGCAGGACUGGCAGGUGAAAUGGGUGGGAGGCUGGUCUGGGUACAUACCAGCAGUAGGAGGCCCCUACCUGUGCUUUCCUGCCAUGUGUGCUGGAUGGAUCCAUUCUAAGGGUCCAAGGACAGGGUGGGGCCUCGGGGGCAAAGGACCACAGCCUAUGCAGUCCUCUCUUUAUGCCUCUAGAUUAUAGGCCUACAGUCUGCUUUCCUCUUUUCUUCACAGCUGCCAUCACCUGCCCUGUCUUUUCCAUUCUACCAACCUGAGAAUGGCUGAAAUGGGCUCCAUUAGGGUGCCCCUAUCAUGGUAUAGGUCACAGAGCCCUGAAGGCCUUGGGUAAUUGGCACAACAUGAGUUGGAGUGCCUACAGCUGCUUUUGUUGGUCACCUGAGGCAUGGACAAGUCAAGCCAGUAAAAGUUACGGGGUUGGGUAGGAACUUAUCUGCAGCGUAACCUGCUGGCCUGUGCAGGCCUCUUUUCCUUCCCAAAUGUUUCAGGGAACAGCUCCAGCCUGUUGUCAUUUCUUCUUCGUAGCGGCCACCACCUACGCCCUCUCUCCAGCCUAGGCCUCAUGUCUGUGCCACUUUCUCUUCCUAACGGUGCCAGGACUCCUAUCUGCUGUUCUUUUCCUUCACAGCUGCCAUCACCCACUCUGUUCCUCUCUCUAAUCCUUAUUCUGGAUUACUCCUGUCCCCAACUCUCUUUUCUUGUUUUUCCUGAAGUAUGCACAUAGGCCCUUUGCUUUUUAAGUUUCACUGCUAGUCACUAAAAAGAAGCAAACAUGAGGCAAAGAGGAAGGAGAAAGGGGAGGGCAAUUUAGAGAUGGAUGAGACAUCUGUUGAGUACUGAUACUGGACAUCUGCAGUGUGCAGAAGUGACUGCCACAUGACUGAGGUCCCUUCCUUGAGUCCCUUCUUGGACGGUUCCAAAGAGUCUUGAUAUUCUCACUCUCUUCAUCCUUGAGUCCUGGUUGUAGGACUGAGCCAUCCUCCCUCUUCCUAUCUAUUUGCCGUAUGGUGUUCAGGAAAGCUUUGCUGAACAAGAAGUUUCUACUACUCAGGAGGGGGCUGCCCGUUUAAUCCUCUUCUCUCCACCAAUUUCUCCCUGCAUCACCAACUCUGCCCACCCUCAAACCUCCCCACGUCCCUCUACUGGCCAACUUGACAGAGGUCUUCUGUGAUGGUGGGGUUCAUAUAAAGAAGUAGAGAUAAGUAUUCAUUAUUUCACCCACCAACUGAAGGUCCUACAUGCCAGACUACAUGUAAACACCCUUAGUAGGCAAAGAGGAGCCACAGACGACUUUCAGUUGGGGAAUGGCAAUAGAAAGUACCUUACAUUAUGCAUAGGCACUCAAGAAAUAUUUAGAUAAAUGUAUAAAAGAGUGCAUGAAUGAUCACAACUGUGUACUGAAAAGAUAACUUUGGCAAAUGUAUGAGAGGCUAAAGGAAUUUUAAAAAGCCAGUCUAGGCCAUAUGCUGAAGCAGGUGAAGUCAGUCUCUACUUGUAUCCUGUAGGACUCUCCCCCAUCUGACUGGUGCAGCCUUAACCCCCAGCCCUCUAGGCCAUGUGCCACGAUGAAGACUUGCUCUCUGGGGUCAUUACCCAGCACCAAAUAUAUUCAGCUGAUACCAGUUUAAAGCAUUAUCCUCCUAAAAUAGAGACAAAAAAGAAAUGUCUCAGGAUAGAAUUUCUGUCACAAUAACAGGCUAUGGGGGAAAUGAUCUAAAAUAAGAGCAACCAAUCUGGUAUCAUCUGAGAGGCCCAGCGCUGGCAAAGCUCAGCCCCAAACCUAUUAGACAAAGAGGCGUCCCUACGUCACAAAUAGUGAUUUCAGUAGGUCCAAACAAAUAGGCCUGACUCAGAGGUUUGGGGGUGCAGAAACCUUCUUAAUGAUGAAGACCUUCUCCAUGGGUAAAAGAGUGGCUGAGCCAGGACAAUGUUCUGAGAAAAACGAACUUGGGGGGAACACAGCAGCAUGGAUAAGCCUGGGGCAGAUGACUCCAGGCACAAUGAAGAUACAACCAAGGCAAAGACAGGGGGAGCUACCAUCACACCAACAUCUACAUCUAUAUCUACAUCUUAGAGCCCAACGUCAACAAACUACCC